CGGUAACGCCAUGUCGUGCGCUCUAGUCCCCUUCGGCUCCUUCCAGGACUUAGAGGCGGCUCGCGCCUUCCUGUGCCCGCACCGCCGUCAGGGCAGCUCCGCAGCCGGCAAGGAGAGCGGUGAGCAAAUCAACAGGCUGGGAAGAUGGUGGCUGGGGAGCCUGGGAUGAAGCAGAAUUACAAGAACCUGAAGAAGAGGAAUCUACUUCCAAGAACCAGAGAAAUUACUGGCUUCAGGACUGUGUGUUGUCCUUGUCACCAACAAACGACCUGAUGGUAAUAGCUAAUGAACAGAAAGCAGUAUUUUUAGUGUCUAAAUGGAAGCACAGUGACAAGGGAAAAGAAGAAAUGCAAUAUGCUGUUGGCUGGAGUGGCUCUCUGAAUGUUGAAGAAGG